GGAGGAUGGAAUUAUAUGACCCAGUGAAGUCAGAUACCUGCCAGAGCUAAUCCCUUGAUACAACGUUGACGCACCAGAGGACUGAGCCUGAGAUGUAGACGCAGACUGGCCUGUCUGAACCAGUGUUGUGGUGCCAGGCUGGUAUGAUGACUGGGUCUGGGCUCCAGAUGUCUGGUUUGCAGUCACCACAGACUGGGUUGAGUAUGGAAAGCCAUGACCCAGAGAAGUCACAUUCCUCCUAAUUCCUUGAUACAAUGUUGAUGCACCAGAGGACUGAGCCUGAGAUGUAGGAGCAGACUGGGCUGUCUGAAGCAGUGUUGUAGUGCCAGGCUGGUAUGAUGACUGGGUCUGGGCUCCAGAUGUCUGGUUUGCAGUCACCACAGACUGGGUUGAGUAUGGAAAGCCAUGACCCAGAGAAGUCACAUUCCUCCUAAUUCCUUGAUACAAUGUUGAU
ensembl:lncRNA